AUUCAGUACCUAAAACUGGUACAAGCAUGGUACCUUGCCGUAGAUACAAGUUAGCUAAGAUAUUGGUUUUUAUUUAUCGCUCGGAAUGCUUCUAAAUAUGUUUCGUACGUGCGUUCCUUAAGACAAUGUGUGUAAAUCGGAGUUUAUAAAAUUGUUAUCCCAAAACUUAACUUUUUAAUAAAACAAAAAUGUAAGCAUUAUGGCCAAAGCCUUUUUGUUUAUUUAAGUCAGCUUAGAAGUAGACAAACCACAAUCCAGAAACGUACCUAUUUAUUGGACCGCAGCACUGAUAUCCAUACACGUACUUAGCAGCACUGGCCCGGGACCAAUGCUUUUGCAACACUUGAUCUGGCGUGCCUGGCAGAAAUCAAAACAAACGCACAGCACAACCACCCACACAAACACGCAUGCAUAUAUACAUACGGACAGCACAAAGAGCAGACAACAAAACCGCGUUCUGUGUUUUUCGUGAAAAGUCGUUUAUUUGGUGGCGGUUACUCGGGUUGACAAACAAAGGCAGGGCAACGCACCCACCGCCCCCUCUGAGAUAUCAUAAAUGGUUAGUUGCAUACACUCGCAAAUGUACGCGCCAACAACAAAUGUUUGCCUAGGACAAAUCCGGACCCAGGAGUUUGGAUUUUCCUGUUUCGUGCGCCGCCAAGGGGCGCACUUCUGGCGUCAUGAACUGGUCUCCUCCAGAAUUGGUGUCGCCCCCGGCACUUCGCUGUUCUUCUCCAGAACCAGGUUGCCAACCACAUCAGCACCCUCGCUAUCCGAAUCCUGCAUAAGUGGGCUGUCGAGAAUUCGAAGAUUUUUUAAGUCUUCAUACUGAUUUGCAAUCUCCAACGUUAUUGGGUCAGGUGGAGGUUGAAGUCUACUCAACUCCAGCAACUGCAGAUGGUAGUAGACACCCUCGUCAUCUAUGGCAUAAAAUUGCGAGAACUUGGCGUCUGUGAAGAACUGACGAGCUUCAUUUCCCACAAAUUUAACGCAGGCUAGGAGUUCCGGACGGAUGGCAUUGCCGCGCUUAUUCCGCCACAGUUCAGCAGUCUCUCGGUUGACCGGGUGAAACUCGUCGGCAACGAAUGUGACAUCUUCAUCGAUGUCCGCUGCAAUGGGCGCCGCAUCCACAGCAUCCUCCUGUGUAACACUGUGCUGCUUGUGGCGUCGACUGCGCCGCUGUUUUUGCUCGCGCUCCAAUUGAUUGUUGCGCAUGUGCGUCACGUUCCAGAAGCACAGCUGCUCCGCGCAGCUGACCAGGAGCAACUUACAUGGAGAGAAUCGCAAUUGCCGGAUGCAGUGCUCGUGGACCUCUUCAAUGCUGUAGAUCAGUUGAACUUUUCUGUUUUCAACGGCAAAGAGCUGUUGGGAAAUUUAUAAUUAGUGGGAAAUAAUUAUGAAACGAAUUUGUAAGACGUAUGUAUACCUCUAAAGUGCCAUUUUCGAAACCCAUAGCCAACAUGGUACCAUCAUCCGAAGCUACCAAAUAGCUGAUCCUGGCCUUCUGGGCAAUCUCUUCUUCGCAAAUCGGUUCGUACUUUAGUUGGUUACAGCUGAAUAUUAAACGGAAUACCUGUCGUUGGAAAUAACAUUGCUAUGAUAAUUGUUUAAGAAAUUUGUUUAGCAAACCCA